UACGUAGGGAGCAAGCGUUGUCCGGAUUUACUGGGUGUAAAGGGUGCGUAGGCGGCUUUGCAAGUCAGAUGUGAAAUCUAUGGGCUUAACCCAUAGCCUGCAAUUGAAACUGUAGAGCUUGAGUGAAGUAGAGGUAGGCGGAAUUCCCGGUGUAGCGGUGAAAUGCGUAGAGAUCGGGAGGAACACCAGUGGCGAAGGCGGCCUACUGGGCUUUAACUGACGCUGAGGCACGAAAGCAUGGGUAGCAAACAGGAUUAGAUACCCUGGUAGUCCAUGCCGUAAACGAUGAUUACUAGGUGUGGGGGGUCUGACCCCCUCCGUGCCGGAGUUAACACAAUAAGUAAUCCACCUGGGGAGUACGACCGCAAGGUUGAAACUCAAAGGAAUUGACGGGGGCCCGCACAAGCAGUGGAGUAUGUGGAUUAAUUCGAAGCAACGCGAAGAACCUUACCAGGUCUUGACAUCCAGCUAACGAAGUAGAGAUACAUUAGGUGCCCUUCGGGGAAAGCUGAGACAGGUGGUGCAUGGUUGUCGUCAGCUCGUGUCGUGAGAUGUUGGGUUAAGUCCCGCAACGAGCGCAACCCUUACUGUUAGUUGCUACGCAAGAGCACUCUAGCAGGACCGCCGUUGACAAAACGGAGGAAGGUGGGGAUGAUGUCAAAUCAUCAUGCCCCUUAUGACCUGGGCCUCACACGUACUACAAUGGCCGUUAACAGAGGGAAGCAAUACCGCGAGGUGGAGCAAAACCCUAAAAGCGGUCCCAGUUCGGAUUGUAGGCUGCAACCCGCCUGCAUGAAGUUGGAAUUGCUAGUAAUCGCGGAUCAGCAUGCCGCGGUGAAUACGUUCCCGGGCCUUGUACACACCGCCCGUCACACCAUGGGAGCCG
rnacentral:rRNA from 1 species